AGAACGAACGCUGGCGGCAGGCUUAACACAUGCAAGUCGAGCGCCCAGCAAUGGGAGCGGCGGACGGGUGAGUAACACGUGGGAACAUGCCCUUUGGUACGGGACAACUCAGGGAAACUUGAGCUAAUACCGUAUGAGCCGGUAACGGGAAAGAUUUAUCGCCAAAGGAAUGGCCCGCGUCCGAUUAGCUAGUUGGUGAGGUAAUGGCUCACCAAGGCACCGAUCGGUAGCUGGUUUGAGAGAACGACCAGCCACACUGGGACUGAGACACGGCCCAGACUCCUACGGGAGGCAGCAGUGGGGAAUCUUGGACAAUGGGGCAAUCCUGAUCCAGCCAUGCCGCGUGAGUGAUGAAGGCCUUCGGGUUGUAAAACUCUUUCGACGGGGACGAUAAUGACGGUACCCGUAGAAGAAGCUCCGGCUAACUUCGCGCCAGCAGCCGC
rnacentral:rRNA from 1 species